GUUAUGAAUACUUUUAUUUUUGUUAACUCAUUAUUAAAACUAGCCUGAAUUGCACAAUUCACAUUUUUGUCUUCAAUUUAUCAGAAUCGUGGGAACCAAUUCCAUAUGAGCAAGACUACAGAAAUUUGACUUUUAACCACACAUAUGCCGUCCCAGAUUUAUACACAGUCCAACUCUUUCUCUACAAUUAUGUGAGCAGUGCUCAUCGCGAAUUGUAUAUUGCUGUGUUGGAAGAUAUUGAAGAUCUCACAAUAGAUAGCUUCUCAGGCGAGGAUGGGACUUGGACUACCACCCUGCCAAUGGAAUUUCCUGUGAUAUUGACUGCUCAACCUCUGAAGGGGACCAUAGAGCUGUGUGAAUGGAAUGUAGGGGGACAUCUCUUUAACUCCACCGACCCCACUAUAGAGUACGAAUUCGAUGCAGAAGGGGUCUAUGAUAUUGAGGUCCGUGCCAUAAAUGCUUUUUCUAGUGACAGAGCUAACACGAGUGUGACCAUCAUGUAGAGCAUUACAAUGUACCGAAGGUAUACCCUUGUACAUAUCCUGAACACUUAAUUGUUCAGUGGCAUUACAACAAGGUAGAUUAACUUACAGAUACUAAGCGUGUUGUGUUUUAUUGUAAAUGAGUUGAAAAGAAAUGCAGGGGAAAAAAUGAUAUUCAUGUAACCAUCUUGGCAGACUUUCCCGUUUUUAGAAUGAAUGGUGUAUCGAUUAUACCUUAUAUAACAUUAUGCCCACUACAGAAAACCGGACAUAAUGAUACAUUUCGAGAAAGGGGGUACAACCAAGGCAAUUUUUAUAGAGCUCACUGUCCCCACCGAGCCAAAUGUUUUGAAAGCCAAAGAGAGAAAAUUAGAACGUUAUCAAGAAUUAUUGAAAGAAGAUAUCAAGUCCAGCAACAGUAAAUCACAUCAGGUUAUGUAACAAAGGAAAACAAAAGAAAAAAAGAACAGAUCCAGAAAAUCUUUAUUCAUGUGAAUACCAGAGUAUGUAAGAAUGUUUCAGUUUCAGUUUCAGUUUCAGUUUAUUUUCAUAUUUCACAUGUUGUAUAAUACAUCAUUACAUUUAGCAUGUUACAUUUUGUACUCCAUUUAGGAUGCGUUUAUACAAACAAAAAGAAUAAUACAUAAGACUAAGUUGUAUAAAGGAAAAAAUAUGAUGGAGCCUAAAGAGAAAGCAAUGCUUGUAGGUCAUAGGCUCCGGAAGUUACAACAAUGACAUAAUCUUGUGUAAAUU